GGGGCUGGGGAUGUGGCUCAAGCGGUAGCGCGCUCGCCUGGCAUGCAUGUGGCCCAGGUUCGAUCCUCAGCACCACAUACAAACAAAGAUGUUGUGUCCGCC